ACUCCUACGGGAGGCAGCAGUGGGGAAUCUUGGACAAUGGGCGCAAGCCUGAUCCAGCCAUGCCGCGUGAGUGAUGAAGGCCCGUAGGGUCGUAAAGCUCUUUCGCCAGAGAUGAUAAUGACAGUAUCUGGUAAACGAAACCCGGCUAACUCCGUGCCAGCAGCCGCGGUAAUACGGAGGGGUUAGCGUUGUUCGGAAUUACUGGGCGUAAAGCGUACGUAGGCGGAUUAGUUAGUCAGAGGUGAAAUCCCAGGGCUCAACCCUGGAACUGCCUUUGAUACUGCUAGUCUUGAGUUCGAGAGAGGUGAGUGGAAUUCCGAGUGUAGAGGUGAAAUUCGUAGAUAUUCGGAGGAACACCAGUGGCGAAGGCGGCUCACUGGCUCGAUACUGACGCUGAGGUACGAAAGUGUGGGGAGCAAACAGGAUUAGAUACCCGUGGUAGGAUAGCG
rnacentral:rRNA from 1 species